rnacentral:rRNA from 1 species
UACGGGGGGAGCAAGCGUUGUUCGGAUUUACUGGGCGUAAAGGGCGCGUAGGCGGCCACCGCAAGUCGACUGUGAAAUCUCCGGGCUUAACUCGGAAAGGUCAGCCGAUACUGCGGGGCUAGAGUGCAGAAGGGGCAACUGGAAUUCUCGGUGUAGCGGUGAAAUGCGCAGAUAUCAGGAAGAACACCCGUGGCGAAAGCGGCUCUCUGGAACGGUACUGACGCUGAGACGCGAAAGCGUGGGGAGCGAACAGG